rnacentral:rRNA from 1 species
CCUACGGGAGGCAGCAAUUAGGAAUCUUGCGCAAUGGGCGAAAGCCUGACGCAGCGACGCCGCGUGACGGAUGAAGUCUCUCGGGAUGUAAAGGUCUUUUCUGGAGGAAGAAAAAAAUGACGGUACUCCAGGAAUAAGCCCCGGCUAACUACGUGCCAGCAGCAGCGGUAAUACGUAGGGGGCGAGCGUUGUCCGAAUUUACUGGGAGUAAAGCGAGCGUAGGCGGACGAUUAAGUGGGUGGUGAAAUCCCGCGGCUCAACCUCGGAACUGCCUCCAAUACUGUUAUUCUUGAGGUAUGUAGAGGAAAGUGGAAUUCCUGGUGUAGCGGUGAAAUGCGUAGAUAUCACGAGGAACACCGAUGGCGAAGGCAGCUUUCUAGCCAUAUUCUGACGCUGAGGUGCGAAAGCUAGGGUAGCGAACG